UAAACUUGUUUCCUGAGAUCGACCAAUGCUUAUUUUGAAAAGUAAAAUAUGUGUGUUAUUAGAUUUAGUUUUAAAAAUAAUUUUAAAAUGAACUUCAAUUUUGAAGAGUGGCACCGAUUCAGCGCUGCUUGGUUGGAUUACGUGACAAUGCCUCUCCCGAACUGGCAAACUUAGGUAAAUAAACGUUAUUAAAUGUGGCAAGAAUGUAUCUGACCCAAAGCCGUAUAAUUAUACUGACAUUAUACGACUCUGAUCUGACCUAUUGCGUCGCUGUGCAGACAGAUCUAUGUGAAGUUCUGCGAGAAAGCGUUUAGUAAGCACUCUCGAAACACUCUCGCGAUACUUUGCUGUCAUAGGCUGAUAGAUCUGCGCAGCGCUGCUGAAGUUGAACACGCUUCAAUUUCCAGGACAAAAUUAAAACUGCAAAGAGAAUUCGUCUUUCCGAGGCACAAAGGUCGUGUGUUUUAUCGCCUUCACUGUCACUGCGGAAAAAACAAACAUUUAUUCAUCUGCUUCAUGAUGUUGAACAGGUUUGAUGUCAACAUCUAAUGGUAGACACAUUGUGUUAUGGAGCUGCUCCUCUGCAUCAGGACCUGAAGGCUGUCGCAAAAUACAACAUCAUCCAUUAGAGAAACCUGAUGGACUCUGAAAGACAUCAAGAUCAUUUUUGUAAACUCAAGAUUUAAGAAUGAAAAGAUUUUAAAAUGUCUAAUAGAGAUGUAUCAAACCCAAACUCAUGAUGUCACAUUAUGUUAACAGGCAAAUAGUCUAAAGGUUUGAAACUAGAAGGAAAUAAAACGAUUGUGUUUAAGAACGUUAAACCUCUACAUCUGCCUUUGUUUUGAUAUUGGCAUGAAAUGUGACC